CCCCUCCAGAUUCCUUACCCCCUCAUAUUUAAAUAUUGGUCCAAGUGGAUAAAAAAGGAAGAAAUGUCAAACUGAAGUGGACUUAGAAUAUUUAAUGGCAUAUAAGUUCAUUUCAAACAUUA
rnacentral:snoRNA from 1 species